GACGGAGGGUGCAAGCGUUGUUCGGAUUGACUGGGCGUAAAGGGCGUGUAGGCGGUUGGUCAAGUCUGGUGUGAAAGCCCGGGGCUCAGCUCCGGAAGUGCAUCGGAAACUAGCCGACUGGAGCGCGAUAGAGGAGGGUGGAAUUCCUGGUGUAGCGGUGAAAUGCGUAGAUAUCAGGAGGAACACCGGCGGCGAAGGCGGCCCUCUGGAUCGUUGCUGACGCUGAGACGCGAAAGCUAGGGGAGCAAACGGG
rnacentral:rRNA from 1 species